rnacentral:piRNA from 1 species
UUAACUGUUAGGGCGACUGACAGAUUGUGGU